CCAGAUUUUUUUACGUUUAGUGGUUCAUGUGCAUCAUUGUUUCGCUAGCCCAACGCCUGUAUUACCUUACAGACAUUUUAAGAUUGUUAAAGCUAUCCAAUUAGACCAAACUUGGGCCUAUAUAUACUACUUAUUCAAAUGUCUACAAAGUGGAAUUUUGAUUACACGUUAUGAAAUUGGUGAGAUGAAAUCCUAAUCGGAAGAUGCCAUGAUUAUUAGAGAUAAACUUUAUUCUUCAUUCAGGUCGUAGCGUACUACUAAAUGAUUCUGGUAUGUAAUUAUUGAAUUAAAGACGACGGCGUAAACAAAUGGAGGCGAUCGUCAAGAGAACAUUCAAGUUGGAAUAAAUCGUGUUAUGCGAACUGACUGGAUGUCUGGGAUGUAAACAAGCUGCUAAUGUUGACAUCGGGAACUGCUAGAGCGGAACAGAAGCUACUAUUAAAUAAAUAUUCAGUAAAUUAGGAAUUUCAGUUAGGCCAUAAUAUAGCACUAAUCUGAUAUUGAAGAGAGAAUUUGUGCAAAAACCCGGGGAAGAUAUGGUUGCGCAAAGAUGUUUGAACCAUUUCAUAUGCAAGAUCUACAUCGUUGUUGAAUUGAAAACCCGGCGAAGAUGCGGUUGUGCAGAGAUGUUCCGGAUAUAGUACGGGGGAUUUUAUUUGCUUUUUAUUUUUGGCUUUUUAUCUGUUUCUCAUGUGUUAUGUUCAUUCUCUCAUAAUCUAGCGUUUUUCUUUACAACCGUAUUUCUGAGUCUUUUACAGCCAUACUAAUGCAGUUAGUUAAGACUAUGUUUAUGCUUACAAUUGUUGAUUCAAAUGUCAACGAAGUGGACAUUUUGAAGUGGAACGAAAAUAAAAGUUACAAUGACUGGAUGACUACUAACUAUAAAAUAAAUAAUAUUAGUUAGGCCGUAACAUGGUAUUAUGGCGAUGAUUGUUGUCAAAUUCACGAAUUGAAGGCUCACGGGAGACGAUCAAGGAUUGAUAAGUAAUAUACACGUGCAGACGAAAGUGGAUAAAAGUCGAUCGUUAGCAUAACUGGACAUGGUAGAUAAACUUGGAAUCUGUGAUUGAAUUUCUUCACGUUUUCAUUUGGGAAGCAAGAGGAGUCUUAAAUAUAAGAAAAUAUAAAUUGUCAAUCAGUGCUUGAAAGUAUUCAAUGCAAGCGAAAGAUUCUGUCCUGAUCUCACGCGACGACGGAUCUCACGAAUCGUCUCUUGAUUUAGUUGCGUUGUGGAUUGCAAGGUCAAAGAAGAGAUCAACAACACCAAGAAAUGGCCGUUCCAUCUUAAUAGUAUUUUAAGAUAUGAAUCAUGUAUUUCAAUUUUUUUAUAGCAAUCCAUGCACCCAUGUUUGUCAAAUAUCAAUGCAUGCCCCAGCAGUGACGUAUCUACGUGAAAAGAAGCCCAUGGCAAAGUUUAAAAAUGCGCCCCAUUGAUCGGUGACUUGACAAUUUUUAACGACUGUUCGUUUAUUUGAGAUACAUUUAACGUUAUAAGUGAAUACGAGCUUAAUUUCUAGUUCGAUCACAUUUUUUAAGAAAUUAACCAGUUCUUUAUCAAAUUUAACGUAUUUAACAGUAUUUAAAAAAAAACUAGUUUGAUUAAUUGUUUCCGAUUUAAAAGUUAAAUUUUAUUAGGUUAUGCCCAUAGCUCUCAUGCCGUAGGUAUGCCACUGGGACCCGGGUAUCUACCCAGAAUUUAAUAAUUCAUUUCGCGUCUGGCCAGUGUCUGAUCAUGGCAGGAAAUUUUGGAAUCUUAUUGCCGCUCUUUCUAAUACUAUCCGUACCUGCGUUCCAAUUAGUAACUCGAAACCUAUUCUACAAUUUUCUAGGCACUGAAUGUGUUGUUAUUUUAAGUGUAAAUUCUCCAGAUUAUAUUUUUUAUAGUCUUGCACUUGGUGAAAGUAAGUAAGCUGAAUGUCUCGCAAUAUAUUUUUUCCUCUUUUAUUCUCGUGCUAAAGGAAUAAUAAAAUUAUUC